AUACUUACCUGGCAAGGGAGACACCGUGAUCACCAAGGCGGAUCACCCAGGGCGAGGCUCGGCCAUUGCACUGCGGCUGUGCUGACCCCUGCGAAUUUCCCAAAUGUGGAAAUCUCGAUUGCAUAAUUUCUGGUAGUGGGGGACUGCGUUCGCGCUCUCCCCUG
ensembl:snRNA U1 U1 spliceosomal RNA